UACGUAGGGGGCAAGCGUUGUCCGGAAUCAUUGGGCGUAAAGAGCUCGUAGGCGGUUUGUCGCGUCUGCUGUGAAAACUCGGGGCUUAACUCCGGGCCUGCAGUGGGUACGGGCAGACUAGAGUGCGGUAGGGGAGACUGGAAUUCCUGGUGUAGCGGUGAAAUGCGUAGAUAUCUGGAGGAACACCGGUGGCGAAGGCGGCAUCCUGGACCGGCAUUGACGCUGAGGCGCGAAAGCCAGGGGAGCAAACGGG
rnacentral:rRNA from 1 species